rnacentral:tRNA from 1 species
UAAAUUUUAAUUUAUAAUAAAAUAUUUUAUUUACAUUAAAAAAAAUUAAUUAGGGGUUAAAAAUUUUA